rnacentral:rRNA from 1 species
CCGCCUGGGGGAGUACGGCCGCAAGGCUUGAAACUUAAAGGAAUUGGCGGGGGAGCACUACAAGGGGUGGAGCGUGCGGUUUAAUUGGAUUCAACGCCGGGAACCUCACCGGGGGCGACGGCAGGAUGAAGGCCAGGUUGAAGGUCUUGCCGGACACGCCGAGAGGAGGUGCAUGGCCGCCGUCAGCUCGUACCGUGAGGCGUCCACUUAAGUGUGGUAACGAGCGAGACCCGCGCCCCCAGUUGCCAGUCCUCCCCGCUGGGGAGGAGGCACUCUGGGGGGACCGCCGGCGAUAAGCCGGAGGAAGGAGCGGGCGACGGUAGGUCAGUAUGCCCCGAAACCCCCGGGCUACACGCGCGCUACAAUGGGCGGGACAAUGGGAUCCGACCCCGAAAGGGGAAGGGAAUCCCCUAAACCCGCCCCCAGUUCGGAUCGCGGGCUGCAACUCGNCCGCGUGAAGCUGGAAUUCCCUAGUACCCANNGUUUNNCCUACGCGCGGCGAANANGACUUCC